AACGCACAUUGCGCCCGCCAGUAUUCUGGCGGGCAUGCCUGUUCGAGCGUCAUUACAACCCUCAGACCCCCGGGUCUGGCGUUGGGGAUCGGCGGAAGCCCCCUGUGGGCACAACGCCGUCCCCCAAAUACAGUGGCGGUCCCGCCGCAGCUUCCAUUGCGUAGUAGCUAACACCUCGCAACUGGAGAGCGGCGCGGCCACGCCGUAAAACACCCAACUUCUGAAUGUUGACCUCGAAUCAGGUAGGAAUACCCGCUGAACUUAA
rnacentral:misc_RNA from 1 species